CAUCUGCACCUUCUGCCUCAGCGACCAGCGGCAGCGGCACCGAGAAGGAGAGAAGCCACGCUCUGGUCCAGCCUUAAGCGGACACUGAACAAGCUGAGAAUCUCGCGCCAGUCUUGCCCUGGUUGUACAACUGCUCUGGGUUUAUUCAGGGUCUUUUGCAACUGAAACUGAACGCUGUUGAGACAGUUGCACCUGGUGCGGCAGCUAUUUUAGGGUGAGAAACGUUAAACCUCAGCGGCCAAGCCUGAUCCUGAUGUCUCCUAAACCUGUGUCACAUGAUGAAACUUGAACUUCCAAACGCACAGUGACUCCUGUCAAGGGAAGCUGUCAUGAACACGUCGUGCUGUACGCCUUCAGCCCAGCCUGGGCUGCACGCAGCACUGCCGCCCACCCCUCCAGCUGCACCCUAAUUCUUGGGGUGGGGGGCUGAUACCGACAGCUGACAUGCUCGAGAGGUUUGAACGAUGCUGGGAGAUUAUUUUAAGGUGUUCACAGAAAGUCGGAAAACUUCCAGUGAAAGCAGCACCGUUCCUGUGCUACAGGCAGAGCAGCACAUGGACACGGGCCGUAGCCAGGACAGGAGAGGAAAGUGGAGAAGCGUUGUGUAAGCGAUGCUCUUUUCUUAUUAACGGCGCGAGUCGUGCCAGUCCUUUAAAUAGCAUGGGAUAUUCCUAAAGCUGUCUGGCAAGCACGGAGUAGGGAGGGUUUCCUAAGAGCUCUCUACAUUUACCCAUCACCCAGGUCAUUCCCAAAUUGUGCCUGUACAUCACUGAUGUCCACUUACCUCCCCUCCAUUUAUUAACCUGUAUAUUUUUUUUUUUUAAGUCUAAAAAGCAAAUAUGCAUGUUAUG